rnacentral:rRNA from 1 species
UUAAGCAUAUAAGUAAGUGGAGGAUUUGAAACCAAAUGGGAAUUCUUAAGUAAUGGCGAACGAACAGGAAUAAGCCUAGCGUGGAAAUUGAGGUUCGUAACCUUGAAUUGUUUUCUUCAGACGUUAUCCCAGCAAAGGUGCACAUGUAGAUGUUUUGGAAAAGGAUUUCGAGGAAGGUGACAUGCCUGUCUGAGUUGUGUGGUCCUUUGUAUACGGGAUUGCGUUUCAUGAGUCACGUUCCUUGGAAUUGGAACGCAAAGUUGGUGGUAAUUUUCACCCAAGGCUAAUUAUAAGUGUGAAACCGAUAGCAAACAAGUACCAUGAGGGAAACAUGAAAAGGACUUUGAAAAGAGGGUUAAAAGUGCUUGAAAUUGCUGAACUGGAAGCGAAUGAUGUUUGAAUGCCCAUGGCAGAUUGCUGCAUUUUCGUGCUGCUCUGUGGGUUAUCAUCAUGGUGGCUCAUAGGUGCAGCGCUGCAAGUGUAGUGUUGCUGCCGUGGAAUGCUAGUUCCCUUAUGUAUUGGAGCAUGUUUUCAGAACCAUGGAAGCUCGCUGUUUGAGUGUGUGAAUGAUGCUGUAAUUGCUUAUAUGCAUUAGGUGUUAUGGUCACUUUGGGGAUGCAUCUGCUUUCUUCACUGGAGGUAGAUCCUAUCCUGGUUUGCUAGCCAUUGUUUCUAGUAAAUGGACAUCUUUUGACCCGUCUUGAA